GAUCCUGGCUUAGGACGAACGCUGGCGGCGUGCCUAACACAUGCAAGUCGAACGGAACUGUUAUGAUUGACUCUUCGGAUGAUUGAAUUUCAGUUUAGUGGCGGACGGGUGAGUAACGCGUGAGUAACCUGCCUUCGAGAGGGGAAUAACGUUCUGAAAAGAUCGCUAAUACCGCAUAACAUAGUGAUGUCGCAUGGCAAUGCUAUCAAAGAUUUUUAUCGCUCGAAGAUGGACUCGCGUCCGAUUAGUUAGUUGGUGAGGUAACGGCUCACCAAGACCGCGAUCGGUAGCCGGACUGAGAGGUUGAUCGGCCACAUUGGGACUGAGACACGGCCCAGACUCCGUACGGGAGGCAGCAGGUGGGGGAUAUUGCGCAAUGGGGGCAAACCCCCUGACGCAGCAACGCCGCGUGAAGGAUGAAGGUUUUCGGAUUGUAAACUUCUUUUAUCAGGGACGAAAUUUGACGGUACCUGAUGAAUAAGCUCCGGCUAACUACGUGCCAGCCGCCGC
rnacentral:rRNA from 1 species